rnacentral:rRNA from 1 species
UAGCAUAUCAAUAAGCGGAGGAAAAGAAACCAACAGGGAUUGCCCUAGUAACGGCGAGUGAAGCGGCAACAGCUCAAAUUUGAAAUCUGGCCCCAGGCCCGAGUUGUAAUUUGUAGAGGAUGCUUUUGGCGCGGUGCCUUCUGAGUUCCCUGGAACGGGACGCCAUAGAGGGUGAGAGCCCCGUAUAGUUGGACACCUAGCCUCUGUAAAGCUCCUUCGACGAGUCGAGUAGUUUGGGAAUGCUGCUCAAAAUGGGAGGUAAAUUUCUUCUAAAGCUAAAUACCGGCCAGAGACCGAUAGCGCACAAGUAGAGUGAUCGAAAGAUGAAAAGCACUUUGAAAAGAGGGUUAAACAGCACGUGAAAUUGUUGAAAGGGAAGCGCUUGUGACCAGACUUGGGCCCUGCAAAUCAUCCGGCGUUCUCGCCGGUGCACUUUGCUGGGUCCAGGCCAGCAUCGGUUUCCCCGGGGGGAUAAAAGCUCUGGGAACGUAACUCCUCCGGGAGUGUUAUAGCCCUCUGCACAAUACCUCCGGGGGGACCGAGGACCGCGCAUCUGCAAGGAUGCUGGCGUAAUGGUCAUCAGCGACCCGUCUUGAAACACGGACCAAGGAGUCGACCAUUAGGGCGAGUGUUUGGGUGUAAAACCCGCACGCGUAAUGAAAGUGAACGUAGGUGAGAGCUUCGGCGCAUCAUCGACCGAUCCUGAUGUUUUCGGAUGGAUUUGAGUAGGAGCCUUAACGGUCGGACCCGAAAGAUGGUGAACUAUGCCUGAAUAGGGUGAAGCCAGAGGAAACUCUGGUGGAGGCUCGCAGCGGUUCUGACGUGCAAAUCGAUCGUCAAAUUUGGGCAUGGGGGCGAAAGACUAAUCGAACCAUCUAGUAGCUGGUUACCGCAA